rnacentral:rRNA from 1 species
UGGGGAAUCUUGGACAAUGGGGGCAACCUUGACCCAGCACCCCGCCGGGGGUGGAAAGGCCUUCGGGUUGUAAAGCCCUUUCACCGGGGAAGAUGAUGACAUUACCCGGAGAAGAAGCGCCGGCUAACUCCGUGCCAGCAGCCGCGGUAAGACGGAGGGCGCUAGCGUUGUUCGGAAUCACUGGGCGUAAAGGGCGCGUAGGCGGCUGUUUAAGUCGAGGGUGAAAGCCCGGGGCUCAACCCCGGAACGGCCUUCGAGACUGGGCAGCUCGAGACCGGAAGAGGAGGGUGGAAUACCCAGUGUAGAGGUGAAAUUCGUAGAUAUUGGGUGGAACACCAGUGGCGAAAGCGG